rfam:Salmo salar isolate Sally breed double haploid chromosome ssa25, whole genome shotgun sequence.
AAUGCACCAAUUUGUAAUUCGCUCUGGAUAAGAGCGUCUGCUAAAUGACGUAAU